CCUCUCAUCCUACGCGCGGGGAGUAAGAGGGAAGGCAAGCGCCGCGCGCCAUUCGCGUCGGUGAAAUAAUUUGUUCUACUGCCUGUCUCAUUCUUUUGGAUUACGAUUUUGAGUGAAACCUACGUUAAACGUGAAGUGGACAGUGAAGUGACUUGUAUAUUGUUAUUAAACAUUCAAUGGAACCGGCAGUAUAUGAUCGGCGACGGGGGAAGAAGUCCCACCUACGUCUAAGCGCACCUCGCAAAAAGAGAUUCAAAAAAAAUCGAAAAAAAAAAUGUUCCUCCUGCAGCUACGAGUACAUCCAAAUUGUCAACAAACACAAAUAUUGAGACGCCUGAUCCGAGCACUGAGCCUGACGUUAAUUCCUCUCAAAUCCUACCGAACAUGUAAGUAUAACGAUUGUAUCGUCGAACCAGAUAAAAAUUGUAAGAAAAUUUUGGAAUCCCUGUUUCAAACACA